rnacentral:rRNA from 1 species
CCAGACUCCUACGGGAGGCAGCAGUGAGGAAUAUUGGUCAAUGGGCGCGAGCCUGAACCAGCCAAGUCGCGUGAGGGAAGACGGUCCUAUGGAUUGUAAACCUCUUUUGUCGGGGAGCAAAAGACGCCACGUGUGGCGUUCCGAGAGUACCCGAAGAAAAAGCAUCGGCUAACUCCGUGCCAGCAGCCGCGGUAAUACGGAGGAUGCGAGCGUUAUCCGGAUUUAUUGGGUUUAAAGGGUGCGUAGGCGGGCUUUUAAGUCAGCGGUAAAAAUUCGGGGCUCAACCCCGUCCGGCCGUUGAAACUGGGGGCCUUGAGUGGGCGAGAAGAAGGCGGAAUGCGUGGUGUAGCGGUGAAAUGCAUAGAUAUCACGCAGAACUCCGAUUGCGAAGGCAGCAUACCGGCGCUCAACUGACGCUCAUGCACGAAAGUGUGGGUAUCGAACAGGAUUAGAUACCCCAGUA